UAGGGAAUCUUCCACAAUGGGCGAAAGCCUGAUGGAGCAACGCCGCGUGUGUGAUGAAGGGUUUCUGCUCGUAAAACACUAUUGUAAGAGAAGAAUGACAUUGAGAGUAACUGUUCAAUGUGUGACGGUAUCUUACCAGAAAGGAACGGCUAAAUACGUGCCUG
rnacentral:rRNA from 1 species